GAUGAAGAACGUAGCGAAAUGCGAUAAGUAAUGUGAAUUGCAGAAUUCAGUGAAUCAUCGAAUCUUUGAACGCAUAUUGCGCCCGCCAGCAUUCUGGCGGGCAUGCCUGUUCGAGCGUCAUUUCAACCCUCAAGCUCUGCUUGGUGUUGGGGCCCUACGGUUGACGUAGGCCCUUAAAGGUAGUGGCGGACCCUCUCGGAGCCUCCUUUGCGUAGUAACUAACGUCUCGCAUUGGGAUUCGGAGGGACUCUUGCCGUAAAACCCCCAAAUUUUCUAAUGGUUGACCUCGGAUCAGGUAGGAAUACCCGCUGAACUUAAGCAUAUCAAUAAGCGGAGGA
rnacentral:misc_RNA from 1 species